rnacentral:rRNA from 1 species
UACAGAGGUCUCAAGCGUUGUUCGGAUUCAUUGGGCGUAAAGGGUGUGUAGGUGGCGCCGUAAGUCGGGUGUGAAAUUUCGGAGCUUAACUCCGAAACUGCAUUCGAUAACUGCGGUGCUUGAGGACUGGAGAGGAGACUGGAAUUCAUGGUGUAGCAGUGAAAUGCGUAGAGAUCGUAAGGAAGACCAGUGGCGAAGGCGGGUCUCUGGACAGUUCCUGACACUGAGGCACGAAGGCCCAGGGGGAGCAAACGGG